ensembl:miRNA
UAGGUAGUUUCAUGUUGUUGGGGUCCAUUUCUAACUCUGCAACAUGAAACUGUCUUAA